GUUGCUACGGAGUCCACCUGAUUCAGUGGUCAAAGACUGUGUCUCUUUUUCCUCUGUGUUUCAGUUCUUCCGGUGCAGGCUGAGCACCUCUCCAUGUCACAGAGCAUAGAAGAGCCAACUCUCCUGCCUCCCGGGACUGACCUGCCCCAUCUGCAUUGUCUUUACAGACCAGGAACAAGGAAAUACGUGGAGCUGGAGAGUGAACAGGAACUUGAAAACGCACAGCACAGCCAAGAAAGUCUUCUCCUGUGGAUGAAGAUUCCCCUUUCCAUCCAUCUAGCAACAUCAAGAAAAAUUACUUAAGGCUGAAUAAUUAAACUUAAUGCCAAUUUUUUUACUUCCUGUGACAGCCCAGAAUGAAUCCAAGUUCAUUCUUCAACGCGGCUGUCGAUAUGAUCCAAAUCCAUACGCUCGGAUAUAGACCUACCUAGCACCUGCUACAUCACACAUGAUGGCACACGUGAGUGGCCUUUUCUCAGAAGCUCAACGUCAUCUCUGGUCAACACACCCAAAGCCAAACUGCUGAUUUGAGAGUUCCAGAACCUUCUACCUCAGUCUCAUCUCUAUCGAUGGCCAAUCCACCCUCCGGUUCCUUGGGCCAGAACAUUUUGAUCAUCCCGGAUGUCCCUUUCUCUCCAACAGCGCACUCUUUCAACAGAUAGCCAUCCGCGCCAGAUAUAUUCGUUCAGAAUCCAGCAACAGGUCACUACCUUUAGCUGCCGUUUCCCAGGUUGCUUUCCUGCAGUUGCUGUCACACAAUUCUCUCUGCCCUAAGCGUCUGUCUCCCUUGCAUCACUGCAAGCCAGAGUGAUGUUUCCCAUACACAUAGCAGACUUGUCUCUGUAUCCUUUUUGGUGGCUUCCUAACUCACUCAACAAAACAAGCAGGCCAAAGGAGGCCCAGUUUGAU
rnacentral:lncRNA from 1 species